rnacentral:rRNA from 1 species
CCUACGGGUGGCAGCAGUGAGGAAUAUUGGUCAAUGGGCGAGAGCCUGAACCAGCCAAGUCGCGUGAGGGAAGACGGUCCUAUGGAUUGUAAACCUCUUUUGUCGGGGAGCAAAACGGCCUCUUGAGGCCCCCCGUGAUAGUCCCCGCAGACAAAGCAUCGGCUAACUCCGUGCCAGCAGCCGCGGUAAUCCGGAGGAUGCGAGCGUUCUCCGGAGUUAUUGGGUUUAAAGGGUGCGUAGGCGGACUGGAAAGUCAGCGGUAAAAUCGAGGGGCUCAACCUCUUUCCGCCGUUGAAACUGGCGGGCUUGAGUGGGCGAGAGGUAGGCGGAAUGCGUGGUGUAGCGGUGAAAUGCAUAGAUAUCACGCAGAACUCCGAUUGCGAAGGCAGCACACCGGAGCACGACUGACGCUGAGGCACGAAAGCGUGGGUAUCGAACAGGAUUAGAUACCCGUGUAGUC